UGCUCGGGGGAAUCCGGCCUUCUCUCGUGAACGGACACACUGGAACUGAGACACGGUCCAGACUCCUACGGGAGGCAGCAGUAGGGAAUAUUGCUCAAUGGGGGAAACCCUGAAGCAGCAACGCCGCGUGGAGGAUGAAGGUUUUAGGAUUGUAAACUCCUUUUGUUAGAGAAGAUAAUGACGGUAUCUAACGAAUAAGCACCGGCUAACUCCGUGCCAGCAGCCGCGGUAAUACGGAGGGUGCAAGCGUUACUCGGAAUCACUGGGCGUAAAGAGCGCGUAGGCGGGAUAGUCAGUCAGGUGUGAAAUCCUAUGGCUUAACCAUAGAACUGCAUUUGAAACUACUAUUCUAGAGUGUGGGAGAGGUAGGUGGAAUUCUUGGUGUAGGGUAAAAUCCGUAGAGAUCAAGAAGGAAUACUCAUUGCGAAAGGCCGACCUGCUGGACCAUUACUGACGCUGAUUGCGCUUAAAAAGCG
rnacentral:rRNA from 1 species